AUUGAACGCUGGCGGCAGGCCUAACACAUGCAAGUCGAACGGUAACAGGAAGAAGCUUGCUUCUUUGCUGACGAGUGGCGGACGGGUGAGUAAUGUCUGGUAAACUGCCUGAUGGAGGGGGAGAACUACUGGAAACGGUAGCUAAUACCGCAUAACCUCGCUAGACCAAAGAGGGGGACCUUCGGGCCUCUUGCCAUCGGAUGUGCCCAGAUGGGAUUAGCUAUUAGGUGGGGUAACGGCUCCCCUAGGCGACGAUCACUAGCUGGUCUGAGAGGAUGACCAGCCACACUGGAACGGAGACACGGUCCAGACUCCUACGGGAGGCAGCAGUGGGGAAUAUUGCACAAUGGGCGCAAGCCUGAUGCAGCCAUGCCGCGUGUAUGAAGAAGGCCUUCGGGUUGUAAAGUACUUUCAGCGGGGAGGAAGGGAGUAAAGUUAAUACCUUUGCUCAUUGACGUUACCCGCAGAAGAAGCACCGGCUAACUCCGUG
rnacentral:rRNA from 1 species